rnacentral:rRNA from 1 species
UACGAAGGGUGCAAACGUUGCUCGGAAUUAUUGGGCGUAAAGCGCACGUAGGCGGCAUUGCAAGUCGGAUGUGAAAUCCCUCGGCUUAACCAAGGAAGUGCAUCCGAAACUGCAGUGCUUGAGUACUUAAGAGGAUCGCGGAAUUCCCGGUGUAGAGGUGAAAUUCGUAGAUAUCGGGAGGAACACCAGUGGCGAAGGCGGCUGCCUGGGCCAGUUCUGACGCUGGAGGCGCGAAAAGCGUGGGGAGCAACAGGG